rnacentral:lncRNA from 1 species
GACCCACCUCUGCAACGUGGACCUCUUUGGUCCUCCCCAAAUGCUCAAAUACAUUCCCACCUCUGGACCUUGGACCCUCGAGCUGUCCCCCGUGCUAGGGACAACCGUGCAACCCCUCCAUGGCUCACUCCACCCCUCUCCUCGGGCCUCUGCUGAGAUGCCCAGCCCUGAAGUCUAACCUGACCACCUCCCAAACAAUGCAGCCCAUCACCCUCUCCCCCUGCGGUGUCUCCUCAUAACACUUAUUAUGACCUAAGACCCUGCGGGUUAUCUCUCCAUUCGUUUCUCUGCCCACCUCCACCAUUACAGAAGCUCCAUCACGCAGGGAGGCUUUCGUUCACCACUAAAUGCUAAGAUACUUCCAAGAGCAGCCGAUGAAGGAUCGCCGAGGAGAUGGAUUACGUGGAAAUAUCUCUCGAGCCCAGAUUGAUAAACCAGCCCCCGGUGCACAGUUCCAGUGGGUGAAGAGAGCUGCCUUCAGAAUGUUUUCUUUAACUCUGGAUUUCUGCGGAGCCAGUCCUGGAACCGUGGACCACUGAACAUCGCCUGGAACCUCACUGAGUGACACACAUCACCUCUUGGAGCUUGAGGGUUCUUAUCUGUGAAAUUAGGACCCCGGGUUGGCAUGGUUCAGAGUAAUCAAAGAACUAACACAGGCUAAGGAGUUGAGGGAUGGAGUGCCUUCCUCAAAUUCUCAUCCAGGAACCAGGAUAAUAACCAAGUACAAAAGCCCCACAAGGAACAGACUCUGCACCCCAAACAGGGGCUGCAAGAGCUACUUUUCUAUGUUUGCUUAUUUUGGGGCGUGUGUGUGUGUGUGUGUGUGUGUGUGUGUGUGUGUGUGUUUAUCGAAAUAGAUCUUAGAAGUAUUAGCAGAUAUUACUUUUCUAAAAACAGAAUGAAAAGUCCAUAGUCAGAUACAUUUUAGAAACAAAAUGUAGCAGUCCCCUCUGUGAGUUACAUAAUAACUCUAAAGUUAUGACACAUUAUGAGCCCAUAAUAACGCUAAAGUUUUCCCAAUUUGCUUAAGCAUGGAAUGCUUUGCAUGGCAAAAUCACAUAUGCCUGUUCAUCUAUGCAGUAGGCUUUGAGAGAUGUGGGUUUGCUUAAAAAAAAAAGAAAGAAACCAAAAACAAAAAAGGAAAUAUAGACCUAUUUGGCCCUGAUGUGCUCGGAUGGCUCCUGUGAAAAGGCAGAUUUGGACAGAUUUUCUGAGAAUCAGGAAAGCGUAGUAGCAGAGCAAUGUUUCCUACCCACUGGACCAUGGCAGCUUCUCCUCCUUUUCCUAUAAAAGAAGUCAUUAUUCUGGGACCACAGUGCAUUUGGGGGAAAUGUCAGCAACAUCUAAACAUUCCUCAUUCCCUCAGACAGGUAAUUCCCCUACUUUCUGCAAUAAAUGGG